UACAGAGGUCUCAAGCGUUGUUCGGAUUCAUUGGGCGUAAAGGGUGUGUAGGUGGCGCCGUAAGUCGGGUGUGAAAUUUCGGAGCUUAACUCCGAAACUGCAUUCGAUACUGCGGUGCUUGAGGACUGGAGAGGAGACUGGAAUUCAUGGUGUAGCAGUGAAAUGCGUAGAGAUCAUGAGGAAGACCAGUGGCGAAGGCGGGUCUCUGGACCGGAACUGACGCUGAGGUGCGAAAGCGUGGGGAGCAAACAGG
rnacentral:rRNA from 1 species